rnacentral:misc_RNA from 1 species
UCAGAAUGCGGCGAGGGCGGCGUCGAGAGAGUGGAGCUGCUCUCUCCGUACGUCGGGCGCUGUGUUCCCCAACAAUUUCAAAGUGAACGGUUAAGUGACAGUUUGAGAGGAAUCGACAUGAUUGUCAUCGACGAACCAGACUACAAGCUUAGGUAGCAGUCAUGGAUUCCUUAAGAAUGGAGGAGGGUCAUCCAUUUUCGUUAUUCUCGUCAAGAAACGUCACUUAGGGGUCGCCCCACCAUGAGAGUUUCGGGGGUGGCUGUCAUGGGUGGCGGUCGAAAUGGUCGUGGAACCUUGGUGAGAACCCUGGCCCUCGUCUUCCUGGCAACUCUUCUCUGGCUGCAAUUUCACGUGGCCAGUUUGACAAGUCGUUCCAGUUCGCCGCCGUCAGGAAACGAGAGUCUCCUAAUGCUUGUGCCUCAGGAACUGCACAGGUUUCUGAAGGACAGGCGAAACUCGACCGCCGGAUCCAAUUCGACGGCCGGAAUAUCUGGGAAUCUUACGAUAUCCGAGCUACGUCGACAGGUAGAAAAGGCUAAUCUGGAACAACGCGUUUUCAACGAGGAGGCUUUUGGUCCCCUGGCUUCCGACGCCCCAGUAAUUGUCAUUCAGGUUCACGCCAGACUCACUUACUUGAGGCACUUGAUCGUCUCCCUGGCACAAGCUAAGGGGAUCGAACAAACGCUCCUCAUUUUCAGUCACGACGUAUGGGAUCCGGACAUCAAUUUUCUCGUGCAGAGCGUCGAUUUCUGCAGAGUUAUGCAGAUCUUUUAUCCCUACAGCAUACAGACUCAUCCCCACACAUUUCCUGGCGAGGAUCCCAACGAUUGUCCACGUAACAUUAAGAGGGAAAGCGCUCUGGUGAAGAAAUGCAUAAACGCGGAGCAUCCCGACCUCUACGGACAUUACAGGGAGGCGAAAUUUACCCAAACUAAACACCACUGGUGGUGGAAGGCGAAUCGAGUAUUCGACCAGUUAACCGUAACGAAAAACCACGUUGGGAUGGUUUUGUUCCUUGAGGAGGAUCACUACGUCGCCGAAGACUUUUUGCACGUACUUAGACUGAUGGAACGUACAUGUAAGCACAGCUGUGAACGUUGCAACAUUUUGUCGCUGGGAACGUACCUUAAAACUUACAACUAUUACGCGGACAACAAAAAGUUUCUCGGUGUCAAUGGUGUACUGCAAAAGGAAAUGCUUCGCGGAUUAAAGAGACACAAUGGAAUCAUUCAGGGUGGCUUUUCCACCUAUCAAGGUGCUCAAUUGGUACAAGCUGCUGCCCCUGCUUGGGCAUUCCAGCUUUUGCCCAACCUCUACAACCAUUAUCAGAAGGCAGAGGUAACACCGUGGAUUUCUAGUAAACAUAAUAUGGGUAUGGCGUUCAAUCGUAUUACUUGGAACAAACUGACAGACUGUGCUUCCAAAUUCUGCUCUUACGACGACUAUAACUGGGACUGGAGCCUUCAGCAUAUCGCUCAAGGAUGCAUCCCAUCAAGUCAAGGCUCCGGUGGCUUAUCUCACAUCCAAUCUGGCCUAAUCGCCAUGGUGAUGAAAGCACCUAGAAUUUUUCACAUCGGAGAAUGUUGUUACAGUGUAGUGUAAAAAGAGACGUCGAAGGCGGCGAUCCAUGGAUUUCAGCACUCUUUCAUCUAGCCCGGAACCCAUAAGCCAAAGCAGCAAUUAUCAAUUAUAGUAAAAGUGUAUUCUUUUGCACAAAAAUUGGUACCGUGACUUGCUAAAUGGUCCACUUCAUUGGCAACCUUGGCAAAAUUAGAAGUAUACUUUUUAAAACUGUAUGAUCAUUAAUAUGUUUAUCAUACGAGUACCUGUACCAUAUAUUCUUUUUUACAAUCACCGCACGACUAUUCAAAAUAUCUCUGCCCGUAACAUUCAUCUUAUGUAAUUAUACAGGUUUCUUAUUUCGAGAGCGGGCAAAAACUUCCAUGUAUUUUUAAUUCAGCGUCAACGCGUAUCCGGAAGCCUAGGCUGUCCAUAUAUCCCAUGGCCUCAGUCAAGACUUAUACCUUGGGCGACUUCAGACCGUGUACGAAAAGUACAAUAUUUAAUGGCGACGAAACCGAAUUGAUACCAACCAGAAAUUAUCAGGAAUAGCGGAAGUGAUUAAAACUCUGAACACCGUAUAUGCUUCGUUUGUGAUGAAUCGAUCCAUCAGCUAACACAGUUUUGUAAGGUAUGUAAUCCGUGUAUACUCAUUACGGGUCUAUUUCUUCCGACGACGUUAUUAAACCAAUUACCGUGAUGAUCUCAUCGUUUGUCAAAAUUAUGUAGACUUUAUUACCCGGUUUGCAUAACGAUUGUACUUAUCACUCGAUAAUUUGCGAAUCGAAAAUAAUAGCGAUGUAUAAUUAUAUUGAGUAUUAAGCCUAAGCGAGCUUUCUGCCUUUAAUAUUGCUACAAUCGAUUAUUGACAACUACAUUAUUCAGAGUUAGAUAUGAAACGAAACCUUGGGUAAAACAGCAGUAUUAUAAUGGAACAUUGCUUCUAGUAUAUCAGCUUUCAAAGUAUGAUAGUCAUUUUGUCGAAAUUCUCUCAUAAGUAGUUUGAAAUACGCAAAUUACAAAAAUGCUCAUAGAAUACUCCAAGGAAUAAAUUGCUAAUGAAAGGUAAAUCAAAUAAGAACAGAUGUGAAUGAAUCAGUGAUCUACGUGAAACAGUUUAUUUGUAAGAAAAUACGUGAUUAUCAGCUAGCUCACGACUCGCUCGUGUAACCAGUAGUACGGUGUAUUGCAUAAAAUUAACGUCAUAUGUAAAUCAAUAAACAUAACAAGUGAAAUUAUUCACCGAGCUGCUUGUACAAUAUGGGAACGUAGUCAUCGUAUUCAGCCUGGUACAUGUUCCCGGCAAUAGGAUCUCCAAGGUUGUAUUUAGCAGCGAACU